rnacentral:lncRNA from 1 species
GAAGAUGAUGGUAGCUUAACCGCAAAGCUGGAAUUAUGCCACACUGCUCUUCUGGUAAGUUCCAUAUCUCACUCUCAUAUAUUCUUUCCCAUUUUCCAUGAUAUUUAACCGUGCGAAGCAAGCUUCCAAUGGCUUUUGCAGCCAAAGGUAAGCCAUUGCACCUUCUAACAAUUUUCUCUCCAAUUUCUUUAAACUGGAGAUGUCCAUUAAAAUUUCUGGCUUUUAAUGCAUGCUGUGUACAUAUGGAUAAACAAUCAUCAUCCGAUAAUUUAUCCAAAUGAAAAGCUUUGAGCGGAUCCACAAUAGAUGAAACAAUUUGAAGACGAGUGGUUACAAUGAUACUGGUCCCUGGUCCAAACGGAGACCGUAAGAUGGUCCAAUCAUUAUAACUCUCGUUCCAAAUGUCAUCUAAAACAAGCAAGAAUCUUUUCCCACACAACUUCUCCUUCAACUUAACUUGAAGUAAAUUCAAGUCAUCCUCGUCACGAGAGUCAGGAUCGAUGGAUUUUAAAAUUGUCCUGGUUAUAUUAACUGCGUCAAAAUGAUCAGAAACGCAUACCCAGGCCUUGUGGUGAAAAGACUGGUUGAUGGUGGCAUCAUUGUAAACAAGCUGAGCAAGAGUUGUUUUACCCAUCCCUCCCAUGCCGACGAUGGAAAGGACUGAAACUCCGUUGGAGUUAUCACCUUUGAGAAACUCAAUCAUUUCUGUCUUCUCCUUGUGUCUGCCAACAUAAUCCACAACUCCAUCCAGUACGGAAGUUGGUUGCAGCCUAGGUUGCUUUCCCUUGGAGGUUGGAGCUUGAGACAAGAUCUCACUCAACCCCAAACUACUUCUUCGAGUAGUCAAACUAUUCAGUCUAGCAGUGAUCUCUUUCACCUUUGGAAUCAUGGAAUUCUGAAACAGGAAAGAAGUGGGAGGGAAAAUACUACGAAUAAUCCUUUCAGGAAUGAAUUUCCGUAUCUUACUAGGUCUGGCUUGAGCUUGAGUGUCUUGGAGAUUGAGGCGUAACUUUUCAUAAGCGAACUCGUCCAAGAUGUCAUCCACAUCGUAUGCCAAGUCCUGGAGAUCCUCCAACCAUUUCUUCACAGCCAUGUUCUUGAUCUGCUUCCCCUCUGCAUCGUCCAACACUGCUUGGAUAUCAGGCAAUAUGGACUGCCACUGCUUGAGCUGCUGGUGGAGUUGGUAGUGAUCAGCAACAAAGUUGAGUGCAGAGUCAAGCGAUUUGCCCACCAACAGGUCCAGGAACCCAGAAAGAGCAGCCUCUCCAAUGACAGACAUGGUGGAAUUGUGAGAAAUAAGGUGACAAGAGAAAUGAGCAAAGCCAAAAUGGAAAGUCAGGGAACAAAAAAGAAAUGAGUUGGAAGUCUUUUGGUGUUAAUGGGGAAGGAAAAAUGGAAAUGAUGGGACCUUUGCUUUUGAAUUUUGAUGCUCUUCUUUUCUCUUGCUUUUGGUCAUUUUCCUAAAUUGACCUUCACCGUAUAUGUAAUUUAAUUAAACAUCAAAAUAUUAUAUUUCUCACAACUUUAUCGCCAAAAUAUAGCAAACACCAAUACUCAAAAUUUUUGAAUCCCAAAUAUUUACAGUAUUUAGCAUAUAGAAAACAAAAUUCCGAAAUUAAAUAAUAAUUUUUAUGAUUUUACCAUUUUAAUAGUUUAUAUCUUUAUAAAAUUUAAAAGAUUAAAUCAGAUUUUUAUCAUAUUUAGGGGAGUAAAGUGUAAUUUUAUAUUUACUAAUUUAAAAUUUUAAAAUAUUCAAAGAGCUUAAAUGAAAAAAUUUUUAUUUUAGAGGACCAUGCCAACCCCCUAGCUACACCCGAGAUUGAUUGUAGCUAUAUUGUUAAUUGAUUUACUAUUUUACUAUUUAUACUAUUAUUUAAGCUUAUGACUAGUUGAUGUCACGAGUUAAUAAAGUACCAACUUGGUUAAAGAAAAUAUGAAAAUGUCACUCUAGUCUUUUUAUUAAAAAUAAAAAUAAAAAUAUGUGCAUAUAAUGAGAUUUUGAACCCAUAUCAAUUACAUUAAUAGAAUUAUUAAUUUACCACUCAACUAAAACUUUAAUAUUUUUAUACAUUUUAAUUUUAUUGUGCACACUUUAUUGUUAAUUAAUUUCAAACAUUAUGCUUUAAUUAUUUAUUGUAUGUUAUAUUCAAACGCACACUUAUAUUCUAAAUAUAUGAUUCUCAAAUAUACAUGUGUGAUAAGUAUACUAAUUGUAACCUAUCUUACUAAUUGUUGUACUAAUUUAUGAUUUGCUUUCUUACUAGCUAGAUCUGUUAGCCAAACUCAAAUUACCUUCCUUUUAGAUCAAUUAAUUGACUUAAACCUAACUCAAUUACAUUUCUUUCUAGAGUGAUUAACCAAAAUAAUCGACCGAACCGAUUAAACGAGAUUGUUUCUAUUAUUAUAUUUAUGAAAUCGUGAUCGUUUAGUUAUUGGUAUUUUUUGUUGGGGUUAGCUUAAUUUAAUUUUCAAUUUUUCUAAACUAAAAUUUACAUCUAGAUUUGAUGAUGAUUGCUUGUCCACAGUCCAUGGGUUUCAAUUAUACCAACCUAUUCAAUCUUCUUUUUUCCCUAAUGCAUGUGAGGUCUCUUUUUCUUUUCCUUAGCAAAGUAUUUAGGGUCUCUCUUUUUUUUCAAAGUAAUCUUUAUCUUUAAUAAAAUAAUUUAAAAACCCUAAUCACUUUCCCAUAAUUGAUGGAACUUACAAGUAUAAUUAACAAAAAAAAAAAUACAAUUACAAAUACUUUAUGUCUGGCCAACUAGCUAGAAUCAACUUAGUAUAUAAUACAAAAAGAUUAAAAUCUAAUCAAAUACAAACAAAUAACAUUACGAGUGAAAUAUAGGAAAGAACUCACACAUGAUAUUUACAUAUUAUGAAACUCAAAUUUGGGCACUCGAGGCCCAACUUUGCCAACACCAACAAACCUCAUUGGCUCAUAAGUAAAUAUUUUAAUGUAUAGCUAAUUCAUUACUGAAUCAGUACUCUAGAAAUUAGUUAUUCUUGAGUUGAAAGAUUAGUAUGUAUGACAAAUUUAUAUAGUUUUAGAGAAGAAGAUGGAAGAUGGCCAAAUAGAAAGGACCAUUGCAAGGAUGAUAGUGAAGUUCCAGUUCCUACUCAAUUUCUGGUAUUAAAGAUGAUAGACAAUGUGGAAGGGAAACUAUUGAACAGGUCAUAUUGAAGAAAUAGCAGGGUGAUUAUAACCAAAGUGUAUUAAGGGUGGGACCUUGGCUUUUGAAUUUUGAUGAAAUCUCUCUGCCAUUUCUGAAAUUCCAAUUUUCCUUUAAGGAAAACGAUGACGACGAUGCCAAUCUAAUUCCCAUUCAAUUAAACCCUGAUCUCGAUCACAAUGCCAUCUAAUGCCCAUAUAUCAAUUUAUUAUUUCCAUUCACUUUAAAGCCUAUUGUAGUUUUGGUUCAAUUUAAUAUUGCCAUUAAACAUCAUGAUUAAUUGACACAAUUAAUAUAGCAACCACACACAUGUCCUACUUUCUUUUUGGGUUGAAAACAUCACUGUAAAUGCAAAAGGAGAGAAGGUGAAGCCUUUCAAAUUCUCCACAUGCCAAAUGGUGCUGACAUGUCAGAUGGGCUGAUGUGGCAUACUAUGUUAGAAAAAUUAUAAAAAUAUUUUAAAAUUAAUAAAACAUAUAAAUACAUCUAGAAUGAAUUUAUCCAAAUUCAAAUGAAUUUGGACAAAAGAAUAUAGCCUUUAUACCAAAGCAAUUAGUUUUAUAUUAGAGGUAUUAGAGUUUAGGUUCUAUUUUGUUAAUCUACUCAUACAUGUUAUCUAUUAUGUUAAUUUUGUCUCAAAUUCGAAAAUAAUUGGUGCUUAAAAUGAUUCAAACCCAAGAUGACAUAAAUUUGAGAUGACCUUAUUUGAAAAACUUGAAUGGCAAACUCAAAUGGUCAUAACCCAAAAUAGCUCAAACAUGAAACAACUUAAACCCAAAAUUGACCCGAACCAUAAUGACUCUCUAUUUAUAGCAUUAACAAAAAGGAAAAAUAGUAAAUAUGCAAGGGCAAAAGAGUAAAAACCGUAGGGUUGCCCCUUCCGCGCAACAGUAAAAUAUAUAUUUUGUUGCCAAAUUUUUUGCAACCGUCAAAAAUUGAAAAAUAUUUUAAAGAAAUUAUUUUCUGGAAAAUAAUAUUGAUUAAAAUUAGAGAUAAAUUAUGGAUGAAAAUAUUGAAUUAUUUCAAAUGAUGAAGAGCAACUUUAAUAAUGUAGAGGGACUGGAUUGGUGUACCGAGGAUGAUGCUUUGAAGGCUACUCUCAGAAGAGUCGAUCUGUAGCUCAAGUGGUACCAUACACCUCAACAAUUGACCUAUAUUCAAUAGAUUAAGGGUUUGAAUCUCAUCAAGGGUGAGACUCUCAUGUCGCCUCUUAGUGGUGAUCACAAGUCCACAUACGGUUAAGGCACCCCUUUUUGUGAGUAGUACAUGGCUCUCCACGGAGUGGGGGACAAAACCCUCUCACAGGGGACAAUACCUUCUGUUGUUGAGAGACUGGAUCGGCAUCCCCAAAGACGACACUUCAAAGACUUCUCUCGAAUAAGCCGUCCCCAUUAACAAAUAAAUAAUUACUCUACACAACCGUAUUCUAUCUUUUAAAAUUAUUAUUUUGUCCCUUAAGAUAUCCAUUAAUCUUUUUAUGUAUUUCUAAUAUACAUGCUAUAUAUAUAGUAAAAUGAAUAUAUAUAUAAUCUACACUAAAUAUGAGAAGAUUAUAAAUAUAAUAAUCUAUAAUUAUUAUUUAUUUAUGCCUUUUUCCAACUACGUCGCUCUGAUUUUUUUUUUUAAUUUCUUUUUCAUUUUUUGAUCAGUCCUAUUUUAUGCAAAUUCAGAUGUGUAUAUGAAGAUAUAAAUUCAUAUAUUAUUUAUCAGUCACAUUCAAAUUCAAUUAACAUAAACUUGAAGAUUCAUUUCUAACUCAUUAGUUAUUAUUUGUAAUUUCCUCUUCAUUUUCUUUCCCAUUUUCGAUUGUGUAACACGCAUGUAUCUGGAUGAAAAAACAGCUUAGUUGAAAUGACAAAGUUAAGACUUUGAAGAUAUGAGUAUCCUAAUAAUUUAUUUUGGAUUUAAACUAUCUUUUUUAUAGAUUUUAUAUAAACACAUAAAUAAAAAGACAAAAAGCAAACUCAUAAUAUUAUUUGUACCUUUUAAAUAGAAGCCACUUUUUUUAAGUUAUUUUUUAACUAAAUUGAUCUUUAGUUAAACUUGUGACUCCAACUCAAUUAGAUAAUUAAAUAUAGUAUAAAUAACAAAAAAUGGAAUUGAAAUUGACAUACACGUAUGUUGUGUGUAGCCUUAAAUACUCCUCUUUCAUGGUGUUCACCUCAAUUCAGGGGCGGAGCUUUAAAAAAAAUCAGAGGAGGUUGAAAUAAAGUUGUAUAUUUUUACGAUGCAAAAAUGAAAUUUCCCUAUUUUAAUAACUUAUAUCUUUAUAAUUUUUAAAGGAUUAUAUCAAUUUUUUCUCAUUCUUGAGGGGGUCAAAGUAUAAUUUUGCCACAUACUAAUUUAAAAAAUUUUAAAUUAUAAAUGAACUAAAGGUGAAAUUUUCCAAUUUAGGGGGGAUCGGGCCCCCUGCCAGCCCCCUUGGCUCCACCCCUGCCUCAAUUCCUUGCAACUUCUGCUUAUUUAACAAAAAAAAAAUUAGAAAUGUAAUUAUUAUUGUCGACUGAGUCUUAACUCAGUUGGUAUCAACAAUAUUAAAAAAAAUUUUGGAACAUGCUUUUUCAUUUAAGAUAUAAAUUAAAAUAUAAUAAAAAAAACUCACUCACCUCAUUAUCAUAGAAAAAUCUUCACUCGCCUUUCAACUUUUUUUUUAUUGAAAAAACCCCUCAUCCUUCGACUUCUUUUUUACUUCUUAAUUUUGAAUUUAUUGAAUGAUGAAUUUUUAUUUGUGAAGUUUAUUAAUCAAUAUUUUAUAUAAUUGAUAAAUAUUUUUAUAUUUAAAUUUUAUUUAUAUAUUAAAUAUUUUAAAAAUAUCGAUAACUUCGAAAUAGUACAUGAAAUAAACUAGUACUAAUACGUACCGAUUUUCAUAGAAAAGUGGUGCAUCCACCAAUGUGGUAAUGGCUACCUUGAAAGCAACUAUGUGGCAUACUUGUUUGCAAAUAAAUGGGUUAAACCAUGCUGAGUUAGUAUUGUGGGUAGCUAUACACAUAAAAUAAAAUAAAAUACCUCGCCAAUAAUUAUCCCCAAACUUGGAGCAAUUUUCUAAAUGCACAUCAGCUAUACACUUUCCGCGUUUUGAGAAAUACCUGGCAAUAAUAAAUAACAAGUGACCAACAAUCUCAAAAUGUCAAAAACAAUACUUUAUUUAAAGCAUCCUAGCCUCUUAUCAAUCAUCAAUGGAGACCUAAGACAGAUUCAAGAUUUGUUUAGAUAGAAAUAGUUGAUACUAAAAGCAUUAGAAACCAAACUUACCACGUUGUGCGGUUGUUGUGCCCAUGAGCUGGUAUUGCCCUCUUUGGAUGCCCACCAUUCAAGGGUUUAUCACCCAAAGGUACGUACACCUCCCCAGUGGUACUAUUUGGCCUUUUAUCUGCCACCAAUUUCAUGGUUCCCAAAGCUGAACGAGAGUACAAGGCUAAAUAAAUAACAUAUUUGGCUCCUCGACUACAACUAUAUACCAAGCACCAAAAUAUGCUCCAACACAGGCAAGGAAUGUCAGAACAACAAAUUCUCCAUAUAACCUAUACUUACCCUAUCAUAAACAUUGAUAACAUCACAGUUGAAGCCUUUCAAAGCAGGGGAAAUUCAUAAAAAGAUUGACAGAAAAUAUGCCUAUCUACCCGACCGGAAAGCUGAAAAGCAACAUUAAAAAAUAGCUGCAAUGAAACUAGUUCCAAACUUCUACGUAUAUAUAUCGUUUGAUUCAUUUAACUCGUACCACAAAGUCAAAAGCAAAAGAGUCGAGAUAUAGUGAGUCACUUAGUCACUGCUAUUUUUGGCUAGAAAAUAAAGUAUUUUGUACCUCUAAGUAAAAGCGAAAUAAAUAAAGUCACAUAGUCAAUCACUUACACAGUGAGUUUGUUUUUGUCGCUCAAUCCACAUGACCAAAGAAGCAAUUCCUCAUCCAAGUGAAUUGAUGCAGCCUUUGAAUUGGUUCAUGAUCUGAGAAAUUCGAAAAACUAAGGACAUCUUUGAGAUUGGACAGAACAAUAUUUUGGGAACUCUGCUGUCUUACAUGUGUUAAAUUGAGCUCUCUAAUGCCAUGUUGUAACGUGUCCUGUAUCCCUGCAUUAAUCCUGGAAGGAUCAAACUAUCACGUAAAAGACUUGUUCUUCUGAAAAACCAUUGGUUAAUAGUAAUACGAAAUGUCAAAUAUUUUGAACUAAAAUCCCAUUCUCAUAUACCGAAAUAGCUUAGAAAUUAGAAGAUGCAAAUGAAAACAGAACAUCUAAUUUGCUGAAUAAAUGUUGCAGAGAAUUGACUAACCGCUUUACUAAAUAAAUAAGCUGAAGCAGAUGAGUUGAAUUUGAAGCCGAUUGCAUACAUCGCCCCUUGAUGAUAACCAUAUUAGAGAUGGACAGCUUCUUAUUACUAAGUGCUUAAGAAAACAAGUGUUGCUACUCAUACUCUUAUUAUUAUUUUCUUUUUCAUCAACCAAAUAUUGCAAAUUCACGCAAUUCUCAAUACUCAGCUCUUUUAAAGCAGGAGGAAAAGUUACUCUCUGCAAAACAAACCAAGCCUGGACACUUUUCAAGUUCUAUUGUCGUAAUGAAUGGGAAAAUGGGAAAGCAUGUAAGACGUUCGGUAGUCUAUUGAGCCUUUCACAAGCCCUUAUCUCCAGAGAUUCAACACCUGGAAUCUUGUCAAGUUGCAAUAUCUCCUCCUCCGUUUCCAAAGAGACCAAUUGCAGACAAUUCCUAAUCGCGAUGAAAGAUGCCCAACUAUGCUUAACCCAUUUUGCGAUGAAGAUCCCAACUCCUUCCAACCAUAGAUGUUCAAUGUUUCAGAGUUUGCAAAUCUCAACAUUAUCCUCUCUGCUGAAAUAUUAAACUUUGAAAUAUUUGAAAGAUACACGUAUUUCAAAGAGGUAACCUUCUGUACAGACAAAGAACCUUCAUCCACCAAUUCUUCACACCCUUUAUCGCUUAAUUCACACAGCAAGGGAAAACUUGAAAUUGAAACUAGCAGUCUCUUACACUCAUAGAUUUCAAGUCUCUGCAAGGAUUGAAGGAUGGUUGGCAACCUUCCCAACAAUAGAGGACAUUCUCUGAUUGAAAGAAAACGAAGGCUGGGGAAUUUCGAUACUUGCCCAUCAUCUUCAGAUAGGUCCCACUCCUCCCAAUUCAGCAUAUUGCCAAAACGCAGAAACUCUAAUGAUGCAAAAGCAUUUGAUUGAUUUUCUCCAAACAACUCAGCACCAAUCUUGUGUACUUGACCCAAACCGCUAAUUGAAAGAUCUUUUAACAACAACAACCUUCCAAUCGAUGGUAGAGAUUUGCAAUUUUUACAGUUGUGAAGCUCCAAUGACAACAUAUUCUUGAAGGAAGAAUCUGCAAUCCAAGUAGAGAAUUUUGCACCACCAUAAUUCUGAAUGACGAGUUGUUCAAGCUUUUUCGAAGGAUGAAGCGAGUCUAACACCCAUUCUUCAACUUUUUUUUUCCUUGUAUCUUUAGAUAAUGCAAGUUGACAAGAUUUCCCAUCUUUGAAGGUAGCCUUUGAAGCCUGGAACAAUUUUUUUAUAAUAAAGUUUCCAAAUGGUAGAGAGUGCACAAAAAAUCGGGAAGGCAUAUGAUAGGGGUGUGAGAAAAAUUUAAGUAGCGAAGAUGUUUUAAAUUUUCAAAAACAUCAGGCAACUCAGUGAUCCAACUCAAAUCUACCACCCUUAAGUAGCCAAGUCUUGACAACAGAUCAACCAAAACAACAUUAGUUAAAAAAGGCACCCAGAAUGACAUCUUUAAAUUUCCAAAAUUUCAUCCCAUUUUAAUUCUUUUUAAAAUGUAUAUUAUUUUUAAUUGAAUAUUUUAUUUUAUUUUGUUGGUGAAUUUUUUAUUAAAAUUUAAAUAUAUCUUUUAAUGUUACAUUAUAAUAUUAUAUAUUUAAUUUAAUUUAAUUUUAUAUAAAUUACAUUCUAUACAUAUAUGAUAGAGUAGAAAAUGAUUUGGGCUUAGCCAUUUUAAUUUUGGAGCCCAAGCAUGGCUCAUUUUAAACAAGCUUAAUUUUUUUUUGUCUAAACUUAUAUUUCAAGCCUCGUUCUUUUUAUCUAAACCCUUUCAUAUUUUAAGCUCAUUUAGAAUGAGUCUAUCUACAAAAGAAAAGCUUGUGAAAAGCGCAUAAUUAGUAAUUAGAAAUUGUCACACAUGUAAAAAUAUAAUAUAUUAUAUAUAAAUUUAAAUUUUAAAAAUAAUAUUUUAUAUAUAAAUUUUAUAUUUUUGAGAAAUAAUAAUAUUUUAAAAAAGAUGGAUAGAAUUUUUUUCUAAUAAUUAGAAAUUAGUGAAUAAUAAUGAGUAGUUUAGUUUUUGAGAAAAAAAAAAGAAAUAGUUUUAAUUGAGAAAAUGAAUUUAUAAGAAAUGUUGAAAUGAUGUAAUCAUCUCUAUAUUUAACAAAAUAAUAACAUUAGAUUUUUCAUGCUUUUACCAAUUGACUUUGUGUCACUCGAUUUGAUGUAUCAAAUUUAAUUAGACAUUUUAUCAUAGCAUAAAUAAUUAUCUUGUAAUUAUAUGUAUUUAAAUUAACUUAGUUUUUAAAUCCGUCACCAAUCUUUAUAUUUUUUCUCUCUUGUAAUUAUAUUUUUACAUAAUUUUUUUAUAAUAUAUGAUAUGAUCAUAAAUUAAACCCUUAAUUAUAGUUAUUAAGCUUGCAUUUUUUCCGUUAAAGUCAAGAAAUUAAUUUUUUAUUGGGAAACAUUUUUAUAUUAGUUAAUUAUGAGAAAUCAUUUUUAUGUGAAAGUGUGUUAAACUAAUUAUAUUAUAGAAAAGUAUAUUUAAUGAUAGGCUCAAUUUACAUGUUUAUUGUGCUUAAAUUUGAUAAAUUCUUUAAUGAGAUAUCACUAAUUUUGGGUUUAUUAUUUGAUUUUUGAUUAGGUGCAAAAGCAAACUUAGAAAGUAAAAAAGUCAGAAAUGCAAGUUGUCGUAAAAGUUUUGGGACAUGAUCUGUCCUUUUUUUGGUACAAUAACAUGACAAAACCCGAAUAACAAACACGACUAACGUGCCUCAAACCCAAAUCAUAUCUGGGAUAGUGAACAACCUUAAUCACAAAGCCAUUAUAUAGGGUUCGGAAAAGAAAGAGAGUAGUUUUAAUUUUUGGUUAGGAUAAUAUUUUAAUUUUCUAGUAUUUUAUCUUUUGAUAUAUUUUUAGAUAACACUUUAAUGUUGGAUUAGAUUAAAGAAUUUAAGUAGGAUUAGGCAUUUUGAGAUUUAUAUAUAGUCUAAAAGGGACAGCAAUUCAAUUGCUUUCUUUUCUUCUCCCUUUCUAAUUCUGUUCUUUCUCUUGCACAAUAUUGUGCCGCCACGCCACCCUCCCCCCCUUUUUUUUCCCUUUCUUUUAUUUGUUUAUUUCUUUUAUUUAAUUUUUGUUGAACCCUCUACACUAGUAUGCUUAAUUUCAUGAGUAAUUAAAAUUCCCAUCUAGCUUUAAGUCAAGACUCAAUUUGGGAGAGAGUCGUAAGAUUCGAAAUCAUACUUUAAAACCUUCAUUUCAGUAUUUGUUAUUUUUCUGGUUUAGGAGAUAGAUACUAUCGUCUCAUAAGGUUGUUUUGGCACCAAAUGAGUUCAUUCCUUUGGUUUUAAUAAAGAAUCAAUACUAUCGAUUGCCGUAUUCGAUCUACCAAAAAAACACAUUGACGUGUCCAAUUAAGUGGUUGAUUUAAACAAUACUUAAACAAAUAACUACACGAUGGUGAGGACGAGUAAAAACUUUUAAUAUCAUCCAUAUAUUUUAUAGGUGGUGUAUUGCUAUGUAGUAUACACUUAAUGGGUUGGCCUAUAUGAGUGUGUAGAGAGGCCGCUUCUAUGAGAUCUUUGGCAAUCUUUAGAGCACUCAUAAAAACUAGGCACGUGCAUGACCUAUUAGCACACAAUCGCAUUGAAGAAUGAAUCAUAAAUAUAAUGUGAUAAGUGAAAAAGUUAAUUUGGAAAUUAAAUAAUUAGUUCAAAAACUUAUUUCAUCAAUUAUUAAAGUAAAUCAUGUCUCAUUUGUUAAAAAUUCUGGUUCACAGUACAAAUGACAAUAUGAUUAUUGCAAUAUAUUGAAACACUCACUUAUAAAUUAAAUCUUUGAAAUAUGUGGGAAAUUAUUGGAAGUUUUCAUUUAUUUCAAAGAACUACAAAAAUCUCACAUUGCUAAAAAAAGAUCUUGAGUCAUUAUUUAUUAAGUCAUUAUACUUCUUUGAACUUAAUAAGAAUCAAAUUGAGAGAGUAGACUCGUGCACAUUCGAGCCUUUUUGUUUUUGGACUUAUUUUUUAUUGAAGUUUUGAGAGUUAAAGAAAAGUUAACUUGUAACACCUAUAUUUAAUCAUGCUAAAUAUAAUUUAAUCGAUUGAAGCUAUUUUUAAUUAAGUCCAAAUUCAUUGAACUAUUUUCAAACUAGUUUUAGCUAAUUGAAUCAACUUACCUUUGCUAUAUUAAGCCAAUGAAAUCCCUAUAAAUACCAUGCAUGGCAGUUUUCAAAGUUACUCAUUAGCUUUCAUCUUCUCAUCUAAAUUUCUUCUAUAUUCUCUUUAGAAAACCUUCCUCCUACAAUCUCAAUUGAGUGUUUAAUUGGUCGGCUCUUUAGAAAAGCCUUCAAAGAUAAUGAUAUUCACGCUCAUGAUUCUAAUUUUCUAAACCUCCGAUUUCUUAAGAGAACAUCAAGAGCAACAACCAGUCAAAUUUUAAGCUCAAUUAAAUGAAUUCACAAACUUAUAGAGUUUAUUAUUAUUAUUUUAAUUAGUAUCAAAAGUUCUCAAUUCAAGCUUGAAUUAUAAGUCAAAUUUUAAUUUUGUUAUUCAAGCUUUAUCUCAAAUCAAGCUCAAGCUUUAAAAGUGAAAUUUGAUUGAACUUGAGUUAAAUUUUGAGUAUCGAAUUUUAAAUUAGCUCAAAAUUUUCAAGUUAAGCUUUUGACUUGAUUACAUGGUUAGUGUAAAUCUUACAAAUGUAAAGUAUAAUAUAAUUAUAUAAAUUUUGAUACUAUAAUAAUUUCAAUUUUAAAAUUUUAACACAACUAUGGUCUAGAAUGUCCCAUUAUCAAGAAGCUUAAAAAUUAGAAGAUGCAGAUGAAAACAGAGCAUUCAAUUUGCUGAAUAAAUGUUGCAGAGAAUUAAGUAACCGCUUUAUUAAAUCAAAUAAGCUAUAGCAAAUCAGUUGAAUUUAGCUUUCAGUGCCUGCAAAAUUAAAUACAAAAUAUAUACGACUGAUUGCUAUUAUCAUCUUGUUCCUGAGGACAGUCAGAUACAUGGAACUAAAACAGCCAAUGUUUAAAACGGUUUCAUACCUUGAUACAACAUAAGGUAUGUGGGAAAUCGUGGACCACUCUCGUCCUUUACCCCUAAAAGUGGACAUAAUUAAAAAGGAAAACUUGUCUGUGAUAGAAAAUGAGGGGCUUUAAUUAAAUUACAACCAACCAGGAUGAACUCUGUUUCUGGAUUGAACUAUUGGAAUUGGUAAUCAGUGACUUAUUCACUAAGAACUAACUAUUCUGUCACCUUAUAUUCUUCCUAUAAUUUCAGGUUUAAUCCUGUUGAAUUAUACAUUCAGUCCACUGCAAUAUGAACCCGUGAAAACCACACUAAAUGAAACUGAUUGUUUAAGGAUCCCAUUCAUAUGAUGCAGCACUGCAAUGGGUGAUUAAACUGACUGUUUAAUCCUGUUUCUGUACACUACGCUUCUUCAAAAUCAUGCCUAGCCGAACUCUCUGACAUUGUGGACCGCAAGCGCACUCAAGGACAUAUUGUUCUUCCCAUCUUUUACCAUGUUGAUCCCUCUGAGGUUCAGCAUCUUAGUGGGAGUAUCAAGACAUACUUUGAUGACCAUGAAUCAAAGAGGCCUGUUGAUGAAGUGAAGCGAUGGAAAACUGCCUUUGUUGAAGUCUGUAAAUUAAUUGGGUGGCAUAUAGGUGGAAAAUUCGACAAGCAUCUAUAUAGUUUCUUUUCAUUUUCUUAUAUAUUUAACUUUCUUUUUUUUUUUUUGGUUUAUUUGCUAAGCUUGAAUUCGAGUACAUUAAAGAUAUUGUUGAAUAUGUUAUAAAAAGAAGAUGACAAAUAGCGAGUCUAAAAGUGCUUCUUAAGAAUUUGUUGGAAUAGAUGAUCAAUGAAGGAUGAUUUUGAGGCCAACUAAGGAAGAAGACAACUUUCCACAUUUUGGAAAAGACCUAGCCAUAAUAAAUAACAUAUGAGCAACAUUUUCUCAAUCUCAAAAUGUAAAAAGCAAUACUGUAAUAUCCUUUGAAGUUUGUUCGAAGAACAUUAGAAUGCUAAUCAUUAGAGUUUCAACUUAAGAUUGAGCACAAAAAAUAUUGAAAAGUUUCAGGUACUAGGUGUAUUUUGAAAGAGUUGCUCCUAUGGCAUUUUCUCACCAUUCUUUUUCUUCCAUGGAUCCAAAUGCCUGUAAAAGAAAAACAAGGAAUAAAAAAGCAUAUCUACAACUCCAACAGAAGAGGGGAAUACCGGAAGAACAACCUCUACUUACCCUAUCAUAAACACUGAUAACAUCACUGUUGAAGCCUUCCAAAGCAGGGAAUCUUCAUGUAAAGAAUGAUUGAAAACCCGCUGUGACACAUUUAGCUUUGAAGCUUCAGAUAGCUAGCCUGUCAAAAUGAUCAAAUAACAUAUCACAACUACCAUACAUGUGGUCUGAGCAUGAGAAAAUGAGGGAUGCUCUGAAAAUUUGGUGAUGAUCCAUCCCAUCCAUAAUCACAACGAUUGCGCUCAACCGAUGCAUCAAGAAGAGAAGUGCACACAUAAAAGUACAAAUACCGAGGAAAGCCAACUAAACAUCCUUCAAUAGUACAAUGAAAUGUCAAAUGUUUUUAACUAAAUCCCAUUCCCAUAUACAUAAGGCAUAACAAUUGCAGUUGAGCGAUUGCUCCAAGCCCAUGCCAUAUAGUACAAAGCAAAGGAUCCUUAAGGACGAGGACGAUAUAAGAGUUAAUCAAACAUAUACGCAAAAAAAAGCUUAGAAAUCAAAAGCUGCCGAUGAAAACAGAACAUUCAAAUUGCUUAAUAAAUGUUGCCGAUGAAAAAUAUAUGAAUAUACGCAUAAAUUUAGUAUUGCCAUUAAAUAUCAUGAGCACUGCACAAAUUUAAAGAAAAAAAAUUCUCUACAUUUCCAUUUUAUUUGACAUAUCUAGAUUUGUAAUUUGAAACUUUGUUCUUAUUCACUUGAAUUAAAAUUUGAUCUAAUCUGAUUUUAUCAUUAAAAAGAGCCAACAGCCUAAAUCUUAAUUGAGACGAAUAAAAGCCUAAUCAUGUGGUUUUGUGAGAAACUAACACUAGGGUAAUCUAAAAUUAAACGCCUGAUGAUCUCUCGACUCUUUUAGCUUCUUGCUAGGGAAUUAGAUUACUCUCACACACUAACACACACAUUUCCCCUAAGGUAGCUACGCUAGUUUUCUUGACUUCCCCUCUUAAUCACAGCUCUCAUUUCUAGUGAUUUUAUCCCUACAGAUUGAUCGACCAAUCAUGCUAAAUCGCUAAAUAAAAUAUCAUGCUGGCUGUGUGAAAAGAAAAUAUAACAAGAGAACACAAUGUGGUUCGGGAAUAUUAUUCCUUAGAACAACAGGCAGAACCAAGAAUGAAAAUUACAUCAUAAAAUAAAAUACCUCACCAUAAUAACCAUUCACAAACUUUGAGCAAGGUUCUAAAAGGUCAUCGACGGUAGACUUUGCAACUCUGGUACCAUUUGGCUUUUAACCCCCCAUCAAAUUUUGUGGUUCUCAAAGCUGAGUGAAUGUAGAAGGCUAAAUAAAUAACAUAUUUGGCUCCUUCACUUCUUUUUAUGAAGGUUUCCUUGAAGUGCCCUAUAAGAGUAUGAUAAUGCUAAUCAUUAGAGUCUCGGUUUAUAGAUUAAACAAAAAAUGAAAAGUUUCAAGUAGCAUUGGUAUUAUGAAAGGGUUAAUUCAAGGCCAUUUUCUCACCAAUUUUUCUACCUUGAUUCCACACAAUCCACAUGAUCAAAAAUGUAAAUUCUCAUCAAGUGAAUUGAUGCAGCUCAAAAGUAGCCUUCUAAUGAUUUCGUUGUGUUAAUGCCUAAAUUGAGCUCUCUAAUGCCAUGCCGUGGUGUGUAGUGUAUCCUUCCUGUAAGGAUCAAUACCAUGUUCAUAGUGGUUAUGAAAUCUGUUGACACUGAUAUCCUUAUAUCAAUACCAUGUUCAUAGUGGUUAUGAAAUCUGUUGACACUGAUAUCCUUACUCAAUAACCACGAAGAUCUAUAAACUAUUACGUAAAUACUUGUUCUUCUAGAACACCUUUGGGUAAUAUUUGACAUAGAUAUGUAAAACAGUUUAUAAAAUUUUGCAUGUAUUUAAAAGAUCAUAUCUUUUAUACUCGUCAAGGUGAAACUAAGAAACAUGAUUUAAAUAGUUCACUCGCACUCACUUUUAAAGGUGGAUUCUUGAGGUUUUAGCUAAAGUUAAAAAAAGCUUGAGUUCAAUUUAACAACUAGGACUCGAAGCUUGACUCAAGUUAGAUCAAGUUUCAGUUUCAAUGUAGAGCUCGAUUUUGAUAUAAAAAUUUACUUAAGUUCGUUAUAUUAGAUUCGUUUACCAAAUAAAAUGAAAAAAAAGGGUCAAAUUCUAUUAUUAAUUCUUACACUAUGUAUAAGUCAUGGAUUUAGUUUAUGUAUUUUAAUUUGGUUAUUUUUAGUCACUAUACUUUUUAAAAUUUAAAAUUUCAAUCUUCAUCAAACAGUAACUAUUAAAUUUAUUAAGUUAAACUAUACUAUUUUAAAAAAUAUGAUAUAAAAAAUUAUAUUAUCAUAUUAACUUGUUAUUUUCAUAUAAUACUCAUAAAAAGGUCACAUUAUUUUAGUUAAUGAAUUUAACUACUAUCGUUUGAGUCAAUAUUGAAAUAUCAAAUUUGAAAAGCAUAAAGACUAAAAACGAUCAAAUUGACGACCAAAUUAAAGUACAUGAACUAAACUUACAACUUAUGCGUAAUAUAAGGACUAAUAGUGAAAUUUGACCAAAAGAAAACAUGAAAUGAAACAUGCAUACAUACGUACCCUAAGUGCAAGGAAGUGUCUGAGAGAUGGUUGUCAUCAUCUGAUGCACUAUUAUUAUCAUCAGCCUUUGAAUUAUUUGGUGAAUGUUCAAGUCUUCUUUCCAGCAAUGGAUUCAAUUCUAGUAUAUUCGAGCUCCUUUUUUGUCUCAAUUCCUCAACCUUAAAACCACAUUCAAUAAUCAACAAAAUACAAUAUUACACACUCCAAAAUCUUAAUAUUAUAUAUAAGCUAAACUACACUACUAAUCACCCAAUUAUCGGUAAGUUUAUUUUUUGAUUACCCAAUUAUAAAAAGUUACAAAAUUGUCAUGAUUUUGUCCUUUUUGUCAUCCGUUAUUAAAUGGCUAAUGGCUAAUGGAAAGAUUACGUGGCAGGUUUUAAAAUUGGCAUUAUAGCGAUUUUAACCCUCAACAUUUAUACAUUGUGUCGAUUUAGUCUUGACUCUAAAAAGUUUAUCUCUCAACAUUUACAUGUAGUGUAAUUUAGUGUUUUUUACAAUUUUUUUGUGUGACCUUUUAACAGCUUAAAAAGCUAAAAAAAUAAAUUUAUCCAGCUCAAUUUUAUCAAAAAUAUAUUAAAUUAACACUCAAUGUCACAAAAAAAAGCAAAACUGCAAAAAAGACUAAAUUAUAGAAUGUGUAAAUGUUGAGAGUUAAAUUUUUUAGAAUGAAGACUAAAUUGACACAGUAGAAAUGUUGAGAGUUAAAAUUGCUAUUAUACUAAUUUUAAAAGCCAUUAAAUUAUCUUUCUGUUAGUGAUUUAACUGUUGGUGACAAAUAGUUUACUCUUAUAUAUAUAUAUAUGUAAAUACAUGUGUGCAUGUGUGUAGCAGUUGAUUAUACGUUUGACCUACGUACCUGUUUGCGUAGAUCUUCAUUCUCCAUUAUAGUCUUCUGUUCCUGAAAAUAUACAAAUAUUAAACCAGAAAUCAUUAGCAUUAAAUGUUAAUUACAAUUAUUUCAAAAGUAAAAUGUACCUGUAAUCUAGAUCUUUUAAGCUGCUCCAUUAGAAUUUACUCCUACAACAAUAAAACUUCAGUUUCUAGAGCUCACAAUUAGGCUCCUAAUGAAAUUAUUUUAAGUUUGUGUUUGUAGGAGAGUUACUAAAUAUACUUAAAUUAUGUUUGUUUGGAGUUAAUAUUGAUUAAAAUUAGAGAUAAUUUAUGGACGAAAAUAUUAAUUUAUUUCAAAUGAUGAAGCAUAGCAACUUUAAUAAUGUUGAGGGAUUGGAUCGGCGCAUCCGAGAAUGAUACUUUGAAGAUUUCUCUCGGAAGAACUGAUCUGUAGUCAAGUGGUACCAUAUACCUCAACAAUUGACCUAUAUUCAAUAAGUUAGGGGUUCGAAUCUCACCAAGGGCAAGACGUUCAAGUCGCCUAUUGGUGGGUGGUUGUACAUCCAUGUACGGUUAAAAACUAAUAUAUAUAAGUUUUAUAGACCGUUACAAACUAAUAUACACUCAUAUAAGUCGAUAUUAACUAAAACAGAUCAAAACACAAUGAAAUUUUAACUGAAACGAAACUUAAACUACUUUAUAUUAAUUCAAUAUUGAGAGGAUAGCCAAUUAUUAAGAAAAGAAAAAUAAUGGAAAUUAAUCAAAUUAUAGGUCAACUUACUUUCAUGCUUACAAAAAAAAAUUGCUAAAAUUAAAAAUUGAAAAAACCCAGAUUUCGAUUAUUAAAAAUCAUCUAUAAUAUAUAUAAGUAUUAUACUAUAUGAUAUACCUAGUGCUGGACCAUUGAUAGACCUUGCCGGUGCUUGAAAAAAUAAUAACCCCAACCUCUGCAUCACAUAAAAUGGACAAUUCUUUAGCUUUCUUCAACAACCCAUUUCGCCUCUUUGAAAACGUUACUUGCCUGCUAUUCAAAUUUUCUAUCUUUUUUAUUUCAAUUUUCCCUCUACCCAUCUCAAAAUUUUCUUCAUUCCUUUACUUUUCCCGGAAAUUUUUAAAAGAAAAGAUAAACCCCAGAUAUUUUUUUUCUUAAAUUUUGAAAAAAACCAAAGGUUUUUAUAACAACAAACAGAUCAAAGAAAAUAAGGCAAAAAAUUUAGGGGAUUGUAAAAGGAUUCUUUUUUUAAGAGAAAAGAAAAUAAGUAAGUAAUGUUUAUAUAUAACAAUUGUUUUCUUAAAUGGAAAUGGAAAUGGAAAUGGAAAAUGAUAUGGAAAAAGAAGAUAUGUGACCAAAAUUAGGGUGAAAUCUUGAAAGGUGACAGAUUUGAUACUAUAUCUAGCAUUUAUCCAACUAUGGAAACUCUAUUUAUUAUAGCUUUAGUUUCUUUUUUCUUUUUUCUUUCUAUUUUUCUUAAUUUCUCUACCUUUUUACUCUGCUGUUUUUGGCACUUCAACUCAAAAUGGAUUUUAUUUUUGCUUUGGGUUUCUUUUUUCAAAUAUAAAAAGUGGUUUUUAAUUAUUUAUAGAUUAUUAAUGUGUUUUAACAAUUUUUGUUAGUGAAUAUUGAUUUUUUUUUUGUGAAUUACAAUAGGAGGGCAAAGCCCUAAUAACAACACGACUAGAGCGAUUCGAAUUUAGGCCACACCUGAGACGUUGAACACAAGUAUUUCACGAGGACAUAUAACACAUGUUUUUUAAAUUCAUGGCUAAAAUAAUAAUAAAAACCUCUUUAUUUUAUUGUAUUCAAAUAAUAAAAAAAACCAUGGUUUUAGUCGUAUCGGCCGGUGCCGCCGUUCUACUAUUAUAGCGCAACAAGCAUCACCCUUUUCCAUCCUAAUGAAAAUUUUGGUUUGUACCAUUCACAUUGACCAGAACACGGUACACCUGCUGCAUAAAUAAUGUUAAAAAAUAUAAAACUUUUAACUAUUUUCUAUUAGACUAAAUAUUUAAUUGAAAUGUAUUGACCAAUAAAAAAUAUUACACUAGAAAGUAAAGUUUAACCUUUAAAACUUUUUUAGAGCAUACUUUUUCUUUUAAAAUAUAAAAAUUAAAAUUAAUAAAAAAAAAACUCACUCACCUCGUUAUCAUAGAAAAAUAUUCACUCGUCCUUCAGCUUUUUUUAUUGAAAAAACCCCCUCAUCCUUCGAUUUCUUUUUUUUCUUCUUAAUUUUGAAUUUAUUGAAUGAUGAGUUUUUACUUGUGGAGUUUAUUAAUCAAUAUUUUAUAUAAUUGAUGAAUAGUUUUAUAUUAAAAAUUUAUUUAUAAUAAUUUAUUUGAUAUUUGUAUAUUUAUUUAUAUAAAUAUAUUAAAUAUUUUUAAAAAUAUCGAUAAAUUCAAAAUGGUACAUAAAAUAGACUAGUACCAAUCCAUACCGAUUCUCAUAGAAAAGAGGUUUUCUGCUUAAAAUAUUUGAAACACACAAACUUUUAAAGGAGGUAACCUUCUGUACCGACAAAGAACCUUCAUCCACCAAUUCUUCACACCCUUCAACCCAUAUUUUACGCAGCAAGGGAAAACAAGAAAUUGAAACUACCAGUCUCUUACAGUUGUAGAUUUCAAGCGUCCGCAAGGAUUGAAGGAUGGUUGGCAACCUUCCCAGCAAUAGAGGACAUUUUCUGAUUGAAAGAAAACGAAGGCUGGGGAAUUUCGAUACUUGCUCAUCAUCUUCACAUAGGUCCCACUCCUCCCAAUUCAGCAUAUUGCCAAAACGCAGAGACUCUAAUGAUGCAAAAGUAUUUGAUUGAUUUUCUCCAAACAUCUCAGCACCAAUCUUGUGUACUUGAUCCAAACCACUAAUUGAAAGAUCUUUUAACAACAACAACCUUCCAAUCGAUGGUAGAGAUUUGCAAUUUUUACAGUCGUGAAGCUCCAAUGACAACAUAUUUUUGAAGGAAGGAUCUGCAAUCCAAGUAGAGAAUUUUGCACCACCAUAAUUCUCAAUGACGAGUUGCUCAAGCUUUUUUGGAGGACAAAGAGAGUCCAACACCCAUUCUUCAACUUCUUUAUUCCUUGAAGCAUUUUCAAACUUUUUCCUCCAAUGCAAUACCAGUCGAUCAAUCCCCUGCUUCUCAUAUAACUUGCUUUCCCCUGCAUCUUCACCAUUAACAUUCUCCAACCCAGAAAGACGGAAAUCACCUUCGAGGUUUGACAAAUAUUUCAAACCUCUAAUAUAACUACCAUCACCUUCCCCUAUUAUAAAAUCAGUUAAACUUUGAAGAUUCGUUAGCUUAUCAAUUCUAAAAGGAAUCCUUUCUAUUGAGUUCGCACCUCUGAUAUCAAGAUAAUGCAAGUUGACAAGAUUUCCCAUCUUUGAAGGUAACCUUUGAAGCUUGUAACACCACCUUAAUAAUAAGGUUUCUAAAUGGUAAAGAGUGCACAAAGAAUCUGGUAGGCAUUUGAUUUUUGUGCUCGAAAAAUUUAAGUAGCGAAGAUGUUUUAAAUUUUCAAAAACAUCAGGCAACUCAGUGAUUAUAUACCCACUCAAAGAAAGCAUCCUUAGGUAGCCAAGUCUUGGUAACAAAUCAUCCAAAACAACAUUAGUUAAAAAAGGGGCCCGAUAUCACACAUUAUGGGUAAAAAAGUACGUAGAGAAUUCACUUGAUCAAAUGCUUCAAACUUCUUCACUGUGUCAUAUGUUCCAACAAUAUAAGAAGAAUGUCGAGUGCGAUUUGAGAACUUCCAUUUCUUAUCACCCUCUAAUUUUGAGCAUAUUUCCCCUGCAACUACUUGAGCUAAAUCAUUGAUAAGGUCAUGCAUUACGAAUCGGGACUUAUCUUUACUGGAUGUUUGAAAGAAUCGGGACUUAUCUUUACUGGAUGUCUGAAAAAAUGACCUGGACACUAGAUCUUGAAAAUAUUGAUUUCCGAGAUCUUUAAUUUGAGGCAUAGCUUUUUGUUGCAAGAGACCUUCUGCUCUCCAUAACAAGAUAAUUUCUUCUUCCUCAAAUUCAUAGUCUUUAGGAAGUAUGGAGCAAUUGGCAAACCAUCGUUUCAAGUCUGACGAAAGAUGAUGGUAGCUUAAUCGCAAAGCUGGAAUUAUGGCACACUGCUCUUCUGGUAAGUUCCAUAUCUCACUCUCAUAUAUUCUUUCCCAUCCUGCAUAGUCUUUAACUGUGCGUAGCAAGCUUCCAAUGGCUUUUGCAGCCAAAGGUAAGCCAUUGCACCUUCUAACAAUUUUCUCUCCAAUUUCUUUAAACUGGAGAUGUCCAUCGAAAUUUCUUGCUUUUAAUGCAUGCUGUGUAAAUAUGGAUAAACAAUCAUCAUCCGAUAGUUUAUCCAAAUGAAAAGCUUUGAGCGGAUCCACAAUAGAUGAAACAAUUCGAAGACGAGUGGUUACAAUGAUAUGGGUCCCUGUUCCAAACGGAGACCGUAAGAUGGUCCAAUCAUCAUAAUUCUCGUUCCAAAUGUCAUCUAAAACAAGCAAGAAUCUUUUCCCAGACAACUUCUCCUUCAACUUAACUUGAAGUAAAUUCAAGUCAUUCUCGUCACGAGAGUCAGGAUCGAUGGAUUUUAAAAUUGUCCUGGUUAUAUUAACUGCGUCAAAAUGAUCAGAAACGCAUACCCAGGCCUUGUGGUGAAAAGACUGGUUGAUGGUGGCAUCAUUGUAAACAAGCUGAGCAAGAGUUGUUUUACCCAUCCCUCCCAUGCCGACGAUGGAAAGGACUGAAACUCCGUUGGAGUUAUCACCUUCGAGAAACUCAAUCAUUUCUGUCUUCUCCUUGUGUCUGCCAACAUACUCCACAACUCCAUCCAGUACGGAAGUUGGUUGCAGCCUAGGUUGCUUUCCCUUGGAGGUUGGAGCUUGAGACAAGAUCUCACUCAACCCCAAACUACUUCUUCGAGUAGUCAAACUAUUCAGUCUAGCAGUGAUCUCUUUCACCUUCGGAAUCAUGGAAUUCUUAAACAGGAAAGAAGUGGGACUGAAAUUACUACUGGAACAGCAGGUAGGAAUGAGUUUCCGUACCUUGCUAGUGCUGGCUAGAGCUUGCGAUUUGUUGAGCUUGAGACGUAACUCUUCAUAAGCGAACUCAUCCAAGAUGUCAUCCACAUCGUAAGCCAAGUCCUGGAGAUCCUCCAACCAUUUCUUCACACCCAUGUUCUUGAUCUGCUUCUCCUCUGCAUCGUCCAACACUGCUUGGAUAUCAGGCAAUAUGGACUGCCACUGCUUGAGCUGCUGGUGGAGUUGGUUGUGAUUAGCAACAAAUUUGAGUGCAGAGUCGAGCGAUUUGCCCAACAACAGGUCCAGGAACCCAGAAAGAGCAGCCUCUCCAAUGACAGACAUGGUGGAAUUAUGAGAAAGAAGAUGAAGAGAGAAAUGAACAAAGCCAAAAUGGAAAGUCAGGGAACAAAAAAAAGAAAGAAAGGGAAAUGGAAUCUGCAAAAUUAGAGAACGUUGAAGAAGUUGGCACUAUUUUUUAAGCAUCCAAUAAUUCAGACUACGAGUUGGGAAGGCAGUGGAUUGUGAAAAAGAGGGACCCCAAGUGGUUGUUGAUGGGGAAAAGACAACGGAAGUGGAAAUUAAAGAGGUCAAUUUAAUUUUUCUUCUAUUUUAAUCAUUAAAUUUAUAUAUAUUUUUUAAAUCAUUUCAAAAUAUAUAGAAAACUUAAAGUAUAUACAAUAUCAGAUAAAAACAUUAAUUUUUUAUUUAUUUUGAGGUGAUAUAAUAAAAAAAUAUAAAUUUAAAAGCUAAUUAUUUUUCAUAAAGUUAGAUAGCUAAAUCUUUAUGUAUUUCUUUUACGAGACCAAAGUAGAUUAAAGUGUCUGUAACUCUAAAAUGGAUGUACCUUCUUAUAGCUUCAUGCACUGUUAGUUAGAAUGCAUCCAACACAAAUCUUAAGAUUAAAUUAAAUUUUGGAAAAAAUACUAAUACAAAUAAAAAUAUUAAAAUUCAGAAUAAAAAUAUUGAUGUGAAAUUAAAUUAUUAAAAAUGAAUACAAAUGUCAUUGUAUCUCAAUUUUAUACUAUCAUUCCUCCAAAAUAAUUAUAUUUUUACAUCAUGUUUUUAUAAUAUAUGAUGUGAUCAUAAAUUAAACUCUUAAUUAUAGUGAUUAAUGUUCCAUUUUUGCAACUAAAAUCAAUAAAAAAUGAAAUUUAAUAAAUUGUAUUUUUUAUUGGAAAACAUCUUUAUAUUAAUUAAUUAUGAGAAAACCUUUUUCUAUGGAGAAGUGUGUUUAUACUAAUUAUAUUAUAGAAAAGUAUGUUUGAUAAUAGGCCUAAUUGAUAUAUUUAUUGGGCUUAAUUUUGAUAAGUUCUUUAAUAAGAUGUGGUGAAUUUUUGAUUUAUUAUUUGAUUUCUGAUUCGGUAUAAAAAUAAACUUAAAAAGUGAAAAAGAGUCUGAAAUACGAGUUAUCGUAAAAGUUUUGGAUUGAAUAACUAGAUGGACCAUGAUCUAUCUUUUGAAAACUUUAUUUUGGGAAUUUAUUUGUAAGAAAUAACAGUUUGUAAAUUUCUUUCUUUUAUUUCUUUUAUUUAAUUCUUGUUAAAUUAUUAGGGGUGUGUAAAUUUCGGGUAAAAUCGAAUUAAUUCGGUUAACCGACUGAAUUCGAUUAAUCAAACGGUUAAUCGAAUUAAUUCAGUUAGGAGUCAAUUAAUAUUUUUUUGAAAGUUUAGUUAACUGUUAAUUAGAUAAUUAUUGAACUGAACAAAGACAAAAUCGAAACCCAGGGACCAAAAUAGAAAGAAAGAGAGAUGGAUUCUGUGUAAUUAGUGAAAGUUGAAGAAGUUGGCACAAAGGUUUUUUUUAGCAUCCAAUAAUUCAGGCUAUCACUUGGAAGACAUUGGAUUAUGGUAAAGAAGGUGGACCCCAAGUGGUUGUUGCUGGGAAAAGACAAUGAAAGUGGAAAUUAAAGAGGUCCGAGUCCAUGAAAUUAUUGCACCCUCCCAUUUUUUCCGUCCCCCCAGUUAUUUGUAUAGCUUUUCUUUUUAGGCAUAAUGAUCGCUCCUAAUUUGCAUAAAAAAUAAUUUUAACUCUUAAAUUUAUCUUACUAUCAAACCACUCUAAAAUAGACCCGACAUACAUGUGAACGUUAAAUUUAAAAUAGCUUUUAAAUUUUAAUUUUUAAAAAUAGUUUUUAUAGUUUUUUAUUUUUAAAAUUUAAAAAAUUAAUUAAGUGAACGUUAAUAAAGUAAAAAAAAGUUACAAAUUUAAGGGCUAAAAAAUAAAAAUUUAAAUAGAGAACUAAAAUGAUUUUUUUAAAGUUAAAAAAGUCAAAUAAACUGUUAUGUCUUUCUUUUAUUGGACCAAAAUGAAUUAAAGUGUCUGUAAUUCUGAAAUGGAUGGACUUAGUAUUUAGAUGCAUUAUCAUUUUUAGAGGAGAUCGGGAAUAGAUGGACUUUUUAUGGGUCCAUUUAAUUGAUAGGUUUUAUUACCACUUUAGCAACUUUGGCGAUUUAGUCAGUUACUCGAGAUUCGCAAUUAUUUUAUUUCUUGAUGCUAACAAUGUGCAGUGGUCAAAUAGGAUCAUUUCUUCUUAAGACCUUUUAUUUUUUUCAUCAUGUGGGAGUUUGAAUUAAUUCUCAUUUAUCUACUUCUAUCCAUGAUGGGGAAGAAACGUCUAUACUCGGCUACAAAUUUUAUUUUGUACACUGCAGGCGGUUCCGUUUUUCUAUUAAUAGGAGUUUUGCGUCCCAGUUUAUACGGUUCUAAUGAACCAACAUUAAAUUUUGAUAUAUUAAAUAAUCAAUCAUAUCCUGUCGCACUGGAAAUAAUAUUUUAUAUUGAAUUUCUUAUUACUUUUACUGUCAAAUCGUUGAUUAUACUCUUACAUAUAUGGUACUAUAUAAAAAAUUUCAAUAAAUAAAAAAUAUAUAAAAUUAUUAAAUAUUAAAAUAAUAUAAGACAAAUAUUUUUUAAAAAAAUUAAAAAAAUAUGGACAGAGCUAAUAUGGAUUUGGAUUAAUCUUUUAUAAAUAUAGGCAAGCUUGAGCAAUAUUUUGGGCUCAAAUUUCAGGCUUAGAUAAAUAUAAAGUAUCAUGAAUAUAUCACCUUUGUUUUUGAAUUUUGUCAUACCUUUUGUCCAUUGUCUCGAUUUCCAUGCCAAUGGCAUCAAAAUAAUUAUUUCCAUUAACAUCAAAAAUGAAUCGUGUUGUACAUGUAUUGUAUGUGAGCUUUUUUUUUUUUAAAUUCAAGUCAUUCUCGUCACGAGAGUCAGGAUCGAUGGAUUUUAAAAUUGUCCUGGUUAUAUUAACUGCGUCAAAAUUAUCAGAAACACAUACCCAGGUCUUGUGGUGAAAAGACUGGUUGAUGGUGGCAUCAUUGUAAACAAGCUGAGCAAGAGUUGUUUUACCCAUCCCUCCCAUGCCGACGAAUGAAAGGACUGAAACUCCGUUGGAGUUAUCACCUUUGAGAAACUCAAUCUUUUCUGUCUUCUCCUUGUGUCUGCCAACAUACUCCACAACUCCAUCCAGUACGGAAGUUGGUUGCAGCCUGGGUUGCUUUCCCUUGGAGGUUGGAGCUUGAGACAAGAUCUCACUCAACCCCAAACUACUUCUUCUUGUAGUCAAACUAUUCAGUGUAUCAGUGAUGUCUUUCACCUUCGUGAUCAUGGAAUUCUUAAACUGAAAAGAAGUGGGAGGGAAAAUACUACGAAUAAUCCUUUCAGGAAUGAAUUUCCGUAUCUUACUAGGUCUGGCUUGAGCUUGAGUGUCUUGGAGAUUGAGGCGUAACUCUUCAUAAGCGAACUCGUCCAAGAUGUCAUCCACAUCGUAAGCCAAGUCCUGGAGAUCCUCCAACCAUUUCUUCACACCCAUGUUCUUGAUCUGCUUCUCCUCUGCAUCGUCCAACACUGCUUGGAUAUCAGGCAAUAUGGACUGCCACUGCUUGAGCUGCUGGUGGAGUUGGUUGUGAUUAGCAACAAAUUUGAGUGCAGAGUCGAGCGAUUUGCCCACCAACACGUCCAGGAACCCAGAAAGAGCAGCCUCUCCAAUGACAGACAUGGUGGAAUUAUGAGAAAGAAGAUGAAGAGAAAUGAACAAAGCCAAAAUGGAAAGUCAGGGAACAAAAAAGAAAGAAAGGGAAAUGGAUCUGCAAAAUUAGAGAAAGUUGAAGAAGUUGGCACUAUUUUUUAAGCAUCCAAUAAUUCAGACUACGAGUUGGGAAGGCAGUGGACUGUGAAAAAGAGGGACCCCAAGUGGUUGUUGAUGCGGAAAAGACAACGAAAGUGGAAAUUAAAGAGGUCCAGGAAUCCCGAAAGAAAGGGAAAUGGAAUCUGCAAAAUUAGAGAAAGUUGAAGAAAUUGGCACAAUAUCCUUGAAGCAUGUAAUAUAAUAAUUCAGACUAUGAGGCAAUGAGUUGGAAGUCACUGGGUACAGAUAAAGAAGCUGAUUUUCGUGUUAAUGGGAAAGGAAAAAUGGAAAUGAUGGGACCUUUGCUUUGAGUUUUGAUGCUCUUCUUUUCUCUUGCUUUUGGUCAUUAUCCUAAAUUGACCUUCACCGUAUAUGUAAUUUAAUUAAACAUCAAAAUAUUAUAUUUCUCACAACUUUAUCGCCAAAACAUAGCAAACACCAAUACUCUAAAUUUUUGAAUCACAAAUAUUUACAGUAUUUAGCAUAUAGAAAAAAAAAUCCGAAAUUAAAUGAAAAUUUUUACGAUUUUACAAUUUUAAUACUCUAUAUUUUUAUAAAAUUUAAUAGAUUAAAUCAGAUUUUUAUCAUUUUUAGGAGAGUAAAGUGUAAUUUUAUACUUACUAAUUUAAAAUUUUAAAAUAUUUAAAGAGCCUAAAUGAAAAAUUUUUCAUUUUAGAGGACCAUGCCAACCCCCUAGCUACGCCCGAGAUUGAUUGUAGCUAUAUUGUUAAUUGACUUACUAUUUUACCAUUUAUACAAUUAUUUAAGCUUAUGACUAGUUGAUGUCACGAGUUAAUUGGGUACCAACUUGGUUAAAGAAAAUAUGAAAUUGUCACUCUAGUCUUUUUAUUAUAAAAAUAAAAAUAAAAAUAAGUGCAUAUAAUGGGAUUUUGAACCCAUACCAAUUACAUUAAUAAAAUUAUUAAUUUACCACUCAACUAAAACUUUAACAUUUUUUAUAUAUUUUAGUUUUAUUGUGCAAACUUUAUUGUUAAUUAAUUUCAAACCUUAUGCUUUAAUUAUUUAUUGCAUGUUAUAUUCAAACGCACACUUAUAUUCUAAAUAUAUGAUUCCCGAACAUACAUGUGUGAUAAGUAUACUAAUUGUAACCUAUCUUCCUAAUUGUUGUACUAAUUUAUUAUUUGCUUUCUUACUAGAUCUGUUAGCCAAACUCAAAUUACCUUCCUUUUAGAUCAAUUAAUUGACUUAAACCUAACUCAAUUACAUUUCUUUCUAGAGUGAUUAACUAAAAUAAUCAACCGAACCGAUUAAAUGAGAUUGUUUCUAUUAUUAUAUUUAUGAAAUCAUGAUGGUUUAGUUAUUGGUAUUUUUUGUUGGGGUUAGCUUAAUUUAAUUUUCAAUUUUUCUAAACUAAAAUUUACAUCUAGAUUUGAUGAUGAUUGCUUGUCCACAGUCCAUGGGUUUCAAUUAUACCAACCUAUUCAAUCUUCUUUUUUCCCUAAUGCAUGUGAGGUCUCUUUUUCUUUUCCUUAGCAAAGUAUUUAGGGUCUCUCUUUUUUUUCAAAGUAAUCUUUAUCUUUAAUAAAAUAAUUUAAAAACCCUAAUCACUUUCCCAUAAUUGAUGGAACUUACAAGUAUAUAAUUAAAAAAAAAGAAAAUACAAUAUCUGACCAACUAUAACUAGAAUCAACUUAGUAUAGAAUACAAAAAUACUAAAAUCUAAUCAAAUACAAACAAAUAACAUUAAGAGUGAAAUAUAGGAAAGAACCCACACAUGAUAUUUACAUAUUAUGAAACUCAAACUUGGGCUCUCGAGGCCCAACUUUGCCAACACCAACAAACCUCAUUGGCUCAUAAGUAAAUAUUUUAAUGUAUAACAAAUUCAUUAUUGAAUUAGUACUCUAGAAAUUAGUUAUUCUUAAGUUGAAAGAUUUGUAUGUAUAACAAAUUUAUAUAGUUUUAAAGAAGAAGAUGGAAGACGGCCAAAUAGAAAGGACCAUUGCAAGGAUGAUAGUGAAGUUCCAGUUCCUACUCAAUUUCUGGUAUUAAAGAUGAUAGACAAUGUGGAAGGGAAACUAUUGAACAGGUCAUGUUGAAGAAAUAUUAGGGUGAUUAACUUUCACUCCGGUAUAACCAAAGUGUAUUAAGGGUGAGACCUUGGCUUUUGAAUUUUGAUGAAAUCUCUCUGCCAUUUCUGAAAUUCCAAUUUUACUUUAAGGAAAACGAUGACGACGAUGCCAAUCUAAGUCCUAAUCAAUUAAACCCUGAUCUAGAUCAUGUUAAACUAUAAGCAAAACAACAGAGAAGCUAAGAAGAAUAAUAUUUUCACUUAUUGAAUAUGCAGACUUUGCAUGCAUUUAUAUACAGGUGUAGAGUAACUGACGUAACUAAAUAACUGCUGACUACCUAAUAUCAGCUUAACAAACUAACAGCUUUUGCAGUUAUAAACUAACAACUGUAUUACUCUUAACAUUCCCCUAAUUAGUUCAUUUCUGAAUUUUAAGUUCAUCGAGUGACAAGACUCCAAGCGCAUGUCGAAAUGAAGAAAACAGCUUAGGAGUAAUUGGUUUAGUUAGAACGUCAGCAAUCUGUUGAUCGGAUGGUAUGAAAUUGACUUGUAAAAGCCCUGCAAAGAUUUUUUCCCCAACAAAGUGAUGAUCUAUUUCAACAUGCUUCAUCCUGGCAUGCUGUGUGGGAUUCUCCGCUACAGACACUGCAGAAGAAUUAUUGCACCAAACCACCGGUAACUUGGAUGACGAGAUGCCCACUUUAGUUAGCAGUUGUUGAAGCCACAGAAGCUCAGAAACGCAAUUUGCUAGGUUACGAUAUUCUGCUUCAGCAGAUGACCUUGAUACAACUGGCUGCUUCUUUGAACUCCAAGCAAUCGGAUUGGGACCUAGGAACACCACAUACCUUGAAGUUGAUCGUCGAUCUUCAACAGAUGAGGCUCAGUCCGCAUCAGAAUCACAUAUCAGUUCUGGCUGACCUGGUGUAAGCCAUAGUCCAUAAUCUAUUGUGCCAGCUAGAUACCUUAAGACUCGUUUGAUGGCCCUCCAAUGAGUUUCACUUGGGGAGUUCAUGAACUGACUUAGUUUAUUAACACUGAAUGACAGAUCAGGUCGUGUGAUACAUACAUAUUGCAGCAUUCCUACAACACUUCUAUACAAGUGAGCAUCAGUCAACUGAGGACUGCCAUCCGAUGCCAGUAACUUUGGGGUGCUUACCAUGGGUGUUGGUGUGGGAGUCGCCCCGACCAUUCCAGUUUUUUGAAGUAGUUCAGCAACAUACUUCUUUUGGCUAAGAAGUACUCCCUGUGUAGUGCGCUUGACAUCAAUUCCCAAGAAAAAGUUAAGCUCUCCCAUAUCCUUGAGGGCAAAUUUAUUAUGAAGAUGAAGUAUUACAGCUGCUAUUUCUUGAUUCGAACUGCCUGUGAGAACAAUGUCAUCAACAUAGACCAUUAGUAGUAUAUACUUUCCUGUAGAACCUCGAAUAAACAGAGACGAGUCAGCUUUGGAUGCUCGAAAAUCAAGCUGAUCAACAAGAUACUGCUUCAGAGUUUGAAACCAUGCACGGGGAGCUUGUCGCAGACCAUAGAGAGCUUUGUGUAGCUUACAAACGAGCUUCUGACCAGAGGCAUCACAAACUUCAAAACCAGGGGGUUGUUCCAUGUACAACUCUUCAGUAAGCUCCCCAUUAAGGAAAUUAUUAUUAAUGUUGACUUGUCUCAACGACCACCCUUUCAUAACAGCAAGAGUAAGAAUAGUACGAAUAGUGGAUGCUCGAACCACCGAACUGAACGUGUCACGAAAAUCAAGUCCUGCAUGUUGAGAGAAGCCUUUUGCUACCAGCCGAGCUUUGUACCUAUCUACCGAUCCAUCGGCCUUCUUUUUUUAUCUUAAACAACCAUUUGCAUCCGACUGUCCUCCGAUUGUUUAGUAGUGAGCAGAGUGUCCAAGUGUUAUUGCGAGUCAACGCCUGUAACUCAUCACAAACGGCUGUCUGCCAACACUUAAAUGCCAUUACAGUAUGAAUAUCAGAAGGAACCUCAAAUGACACAGACAAAAGAUUAUUAGUAAUACCAGGAACAAGCAACAAGGAUCUCAUGUACAAUGGUCGAGAUCGAGUAAUUAGUGACGAUUGCCCCGUAGACAGAACAGGAAGAGCUGAACCAUUGCCAACAAAACCUUACCUGGUCCUUUGUACGAUCCACUGUCACCAAGUGCAGGAGCUGAAUUUGUAAGAUGAUAUGUGGCACCUGAGUCCGGGUACCAGGAGUUAUCAGCCACUGUAUCAGGAGUGGCCACAUAAGCCUGAGAUUGUGUUACGCCAGAGGGAGGCAUGCUGACCUAUUGAGAAGGGCUACCAACAAACGAGUUAGGCCAGAUAGACGAAGGAUGAGUUGGAAAACACCAACCUGGUGGACACCACUAAACAUUUUGCUGAGGAGGUGGUGACCAAGGUACUGUUGUGGGACUGGAACUGACCAUACAAAAGUUUGCUUGAGGGGGAGGUCGAUAGUUAUUACUUUUGUAGGAGGAGUCAAAACGAUGAUAGCAUCGGUCGACUAGAUGCCCAGGUUUUCCACAUAACUGGCAUUGAAUCUUUGAGCUAGAGAAACGCCCUCGACCACGCCCCCGAGAAGUAGAAGAUGGUCUAUAAGCAGGUAUUGAACCAUUAUCAACAAUAGUAGGCUCUGGACUUUGAUGAGACACCGUGUUUGCCGAGCUUGAGAUAUUACAAUUCACAACCUGCUGCCGAGUUUCAGUAUCAAGAAGCAUGGACGUGACUCCUUGAACUGUGUAAGGCACCUGACUUGCUGUAACAAUGGAGGUAACAGAUUCGUAUUCAACAGAAAGACCAUUGAGAAUUGCUGUAACAUGCUCGCGCUCGCUGAUAACUUCACCGCAACUGGCCAAAAUAUCACAGCAGCUUUUAACUUUCAUCAAGAACUCCUUCAUACUCAAAUCACCUUUGCGUUGAGAGUGCAGGGACCUUUGGUAGAACAUCAAUUUGGAGGUAGUUUGACUGCCAUAUAAAGCAAGAACAGCAUUCCAGAUCUUAGCAUUGGUGUCUAUACCAAUGAGAUAAAGAAGAACAGUUUGACUAAUCGAAGACAACAACCACGAUGCAAGCGCACUGUCUUGCUGUUCAAAACGCUCAAACUCUGGAUUUGCCUGAAGACCACCAUUACCAUUAGAAAUAAACUGAUCAGGAGGAGGUUGCUGCGAGUCCAAGAAACCUUGAAGCUUAUGUGCUUUUAGUGCCAAAAGUACCUGUUGCCUCCACAACAAAUAGGUAUUAUCAUCAAGAAGAACACUGAUCUUCUUUGUAGAAAACAAUCUAUUGUCAACAACGCCAUCAGUAGCAGCGCAAUCCAUUCCAACGAAACUAGAAACGCACAGUAGAUAGACGAGAAAGACGACCCAGGAACAGCCUUAAUCUGAUACCAUGUUAAACUAUAAGCAAAACAACAGAGAAGCUAAGAAAAAUAAUAUUUUUCACUUAUUGAAUAUGCAGACUUUGGAUGCAUUUAUAUACAGGUGUAGAGUAACUGAUGUAACCAAAUAACUGCUGACUAACUAAUAUCAGCUUAACAAACUAACAGCUUUUGCAGUUACAAACUGUUACAAGCUAACAACUGUAUUACUCUUAACAGAUCACAAUGCCAUCUAAUGCCCAUAUAUCAAGUUAUUAUUUCCAUUCACUUUAAAGCCUAUUGUAGUUUUGGUUCAAUUUAAUAUUGCCAUUAAACAUCAUGAUUAAUUGACACAAUAUAGGAAUCACACACAUGCCCUACUUUCUCUUUGGGCUGAAAACAUCACUGUAAAUACAAAAAGAGAGAAGGUGAAGCCUUUCAAAUUCUCUACAUGGCAAAUGGUGCUGACAUGUCAGAUGGGCUGAUGUGGCAUACUAUGUUAGAAAACUUAUAAAAAUAUUUUAAAAUUAAUAAAAUAUAUAUACAUCUACAAUGAAUCUGUACAAAUGGUUAUCCAAAUUCAAAUUAAUUUGGACAAAAGAAUAUAGCCUUUAUACCAAAGCAAUUAGUUUUAUAUUAGAGGUAUUAGGGUUUAGGUCCUAUUUUGUUAGUCUACUUAUACAUGUUAUCUAAUAUGUUAAUUUUGUCUCAAAUUCGAAAAUAAUUGGUGCUUAAAAUGAUUCAAACCCAAGAUGACAUAAAUUUGAGAUGACCCUAUUUGAAAAACUUAAAUAGUCGUAAUCCAAAAUGGCUAAAACAUGAAACAACUUAAACCCAAAAUUGACCCGAACCAUAAUGACUCUCUAUUUAUAGCAGUAACAGAAAGGCAAAAUAGUAAAUAUGCAAGGGCAAAAGAGUAAAAAUCGUAGGGUUACCAUUUCCGUGCAACAGUAAAAAAUAUAUUUUGUUGCCAAAAUUUUCGCAACCGUCAAAAAUUGAAAAAUGUUUUAAAGAAAUUAUUUUCUGAAAAAUAAUAUUGAUUAAAAUUAGAGAUAAAUUAUGGACGAAAAUAUUGAAUUAUUUCAAAUGAUGAAGAGCAACUUUAAUAAUGUAGAGGGACUGGAUCAGUGUACCGAGGAUGAUACUUCGAAGGCUACUCUCAGAAGAGUCGAUCUGUAGCUCAAGUGGUACCAUAUACCUCAACCAUUGACCUAUAUUCAAUAGGUUAAGGGUUUGAAUCUCAUCAAGGGUGAGACUCACAUGUCGCCUCUUAGUGGUGAUUGCAAGUCCACAUACGGUCAAGGCACCCCUUUUUGUGAGUAGUACAUGGCUCUCCACGGAGUGGGGGACAAAACCCUCUCACAGGGGAUAAUACCUUCUGUUGUUGAGAGACUGGAUCGACAUCCUCAAAGACGACACUUCAAAAACUUCUCUCGAAUAAGCCGUCCCCAUUAACAAAUAAAUAAUUACUCUACACAACCCUAUUCUAUCUUUUAAAAUUAUUAUUUUGUAUACAUGCUAUAUAUACAUGCUAUAAUCUUUUUAUGUAUUUCUAAUAUACAUGCUAUAUAUAUAGUAAAAUGAUAUAUAUAUAUAUCCAUUAAUCUUUUUAUGUAUUUCUAAUAUACAUGCUAUAUAUAUAGUAAAAUGAUAUAUAUAAUCUACACUAAAUAUGAGAAGAUUAUAAAUAUAAUAAUCUAUAAUUACUAAUGAAAAUUUUGGUUUGUACCGUUCGCAUUGGCCGGAACAUGGUACACCUGCUACUGCUGCAUGAAUAAUGUUAAAAAAUAUAAAAAUUUUAAUUAUUUUCUAUUAGACUAAAUAUUUAAUUGAAAUGUAUUGACCAAUAAAAAAAUAUUACACUAGAAAGUAAAAUUUAACAUUUAAAAUUUUUUUUGGAGCAUACUUUUUCAUUUAAAAUAUAAAAAUUAAAAUAUAAUAGAAAAAAACCCACUCACCUUAUUAUCAUACAGCUUUUCUUAUUGAAAAAACCCCCACAUCCUUCAAUUUCUUUUUUUCUUCUUAAUUUUGAAUUUUUUGAAUGAUGAGUUUUUACUUGUGGAGUUUAUUAAUCAAUAUUUUAUGUAAUUGAUGAAUAGUUUUAUAUUAUAAAUUUAUUUAUAAUAGUUUAUUUGACAUUUGUAUAUUUAUUUAUAUAAAUAUAUUAAACAUUUUAGAAAAUAUCAAUAAAUUCAAAAUGGUAUAUAAAAUAGACCAGUACCAAUACAUACCAGUUCUCAUAGAAAAGUGGUGCUUCCACCAAUGUGGUAAUGGCUACCUUGAAAGCAACUAUGUGGCAUAGUUAUUUGCAAAGAAAUGGGUUAAAGCAUGUUGAAUUAGUAUUGUGCUGAUAUUUGAGUGUAACCAUUGGGAUAUAUAUGGCUAUCUGAAUUUUUAUGAUUUGCUAUGCAUUGAUUGUGGUUGUUUUAUUAAUAAAUUUAUGUUUUGGAUUGAAAAAAAAAUAAAAAAUUCGAAACACAAAAAAGAAAGUAGAGAAGGUAAACACAAUGAUAUACGUGGUUCGGGAAUAUUCCAUACAUCGGCAGAACUAAAAACGAAAUUGACUACUAAAAAUUAGAGAUUACAAUGAAAUUACAUCAUACAAUAAAAUACCUCGCCAAUAACUAUCCACAAACUUUGAAUGGAUUCAUGGUCUGAGAAAUUCGGAAAACUAAGAUGGACAUCUUUGAGAUUGGACAGAACAAUAUUUUGGGAACUCUGUCGUCUUACAUGUGUUAAAUUGAGAUUUCUAAUGCCAUGUUGUAAUGUGUACUGUAUCCCUCCAUUAAUCCUGGAAGGAUCAAACUAUCACGUAAAAGACUUGUUCUUCUGAAAAACCAUUGGUUAAUAGUACUGCAAAAUGUCAAAUAUUUUUAACUAAAAUCCCAUUCUCAUAUACCAAAAUAGCUUAGAAAUUAGAAGAUGCAAAUGAAAACAGAACAUUCAAUUUGCUGAAUAAAUGUUGCAGAGAAUUGACUAACCGCUUUACUAAAUCAAAUAAGCUGAAGCAGAUGAGUUGAAGUUCACUAUUUUUCGCCAAUUUAGCCUUCAAUGCCUGCAAAAAUUGAAUACAAUAUAUCUAAGACUCAUUUCUGUUACCAUGUAUUUCAUGAGGACAAUCAGAUAUAUAUAAAAAAAAGUUAUGAAAUUUAUAAAUGUUUAAAAUGCGGUUUCACACCUGUGGUUUGAGUGUAGAGAAAUCGAUACCAGAUUUUGCUGCUUAAAUUUCAAAACCUCGGGAUGACUGUUUCAAUAUCAAUUAGAACACAAGGUAUGCGGGAAAUCUUGGACCACUCUCGUCCUUUACCCCUACUGCACCCUUCUAGCAACGGGCAACGGUGAAUAUCAAGACGCUCAAGCGAGAGAAGCAUAUCUUUUUCUGGAAGAGAGGCGAGCUUAGGACAAUCAUAGAUGCCCAAUUGUUGAAGAGAGGUGAGGUGUUGUAAGCCCUUGGAGCACAUGAAUUCCAAAUUUUCAAAUCUACGGAUACUGAUAUUGGUGAGAGAAGGAGGCAGCAUCAUUCCCAUCGCUUCUUCUGGAAAUGACACCACACGUGAGCAUCCUUCACCGCUGAUGUUGAGUUGCUGAAGAGAGGUGAGUCUGUUAAAUCCCCAUUCAACAAGUGAUGUAUAAAUUCUGGGUGCGUUUGAGAUUUCAAGUGAUGUGAGUUUGGCAGGAAAACCCUCUUCUGGAAAGGAUACGUCAGCCGAACACUUGUUGGAACAAUGGCAGCAGCAAGGAGGAAGAAACAAAAACAAUUUACUUGCUCACAAACGUGCAGCAAGGAAGCAAUCUGCCUUACAACUGAUAUGCUUAAUUUUUCAAUAAGAAAAACAAUACAUUUAUAGCCAACUACAUCAGUUAUUACUACCUAAUACCACUAAGUAGCCUAGUAACUUUAAAAACAUUGCUUGUACACAUGGAUAAGCUGACUUAUCAGCUCAACCAACCCAUCAAAACAUCAACAUCAAAGUUCAUUCUCAACCAAACUAAAUUAAAUUGCAACUAAAACAGAAAAUAUGUUGCUGCAACAUGCACAAAUGCUGCAACAUGCAUACAAGCAGUAUGCAUUCAACAGAAUCAUCAUAGUACCAUGCAUUUUAACAAAACAUAAUAGCAGCAUGGUUGGCCAUUUUCAACAACACUCCCACACCGAUAAUUCUUGAAGGGAGGUGAAGUUGUUGAUGCACUUGGGAAGGGCUCUAAAAUUUUCACAAACCAUAAUUGAGAGAACUCUGAGAUUUGUGGUGGGCAACCCACUUUCUUCAAAUGAAACCAGAUUUGGACACAAAUUUAAUUGAAUCUCCUGAAGAUGGCUGAGCUUGUCUAAUCCCCGCGGUAAUGAUUUAAAAUUUCCAGUACCCCAAAUACGAAUGCUUUCGAGAUCAGUGGUUUCAAGGAAGUCUUGGGCUAUGCAUUCCAACACUGGACACUCCCCAAUAAAUAGCUGUUUAAGCAUUACGGGUAACUUGGCGUUUAAAAAUAACCUACUUAGCUUUGAACAACUUUCAAUUUCGAGAUGUUGAAGCCGAUUGCAUAUAUCGCCCCUUGAUGAUAACCAUAUUAGAGAUGGACAGUUGCUUAUUUCCAAGCGCUCAAGAAGACAAGUGUUGCUACUCAUACUCUUAUUAUUAUUUUCUUUUUCAUCAACCAAAUAUUGCAAAUUCACGCAAUUCCCAAUCCUCAGCUCUUUUAAAGCAGGAGGAAAGUUACUCUCUGCAAAACAAACCAAGCCUGGACAGAUUUCAAGUUGUAUUCUUGUAAUCAAAGGGAAAGCAUGUAAGGCUUCUGGCAGUUUAUUGAGCCUUUCACAAUUAUCUAUUAUCAGAGAAUCAACACCUGGAAUCUUGUCAAGUUGCAAUCCCUCCUCCUCUGUUUCCAAAGAGACCAACUGGGGACAACCCGCAAUCCAAAUAAAACGAUGCCCGACUAAUCUUAACCCAAUUUGCGAUAAAGAUCCCAACUCCUUCCAAUCAGAGAUGUAGAAUGUUUCGGAGUUUCCAAAUCUCAACAUUAUCUUCUCUGCUGAAAUAUUAAAAUUUGAAAUAUUUGAAAGAGACACAUCUUUCAAGGAGGUAACCUUCUGUACAGACAAAGAACCUCCAUCCACCAAUUCUUCACACCCUUUAACCCUUAAUUUACACAGCAAGGGAAAACUUGAAAUUGAAGCUACCAACCUUGAGCACUCAGAGAUUACAAGUUUCUUCAAGGAUUGAAGGAUGGUUGGCAACCUUCCCAACAAUACAGGACAUCUUUUAAUUGAAAGCUUACGAAGGCUUGGAAAUUUCGAUACUUGCUCAUCAUCUUCACAUAGGUCCCACUCCUCCCAAUUCAGCAUAUUGUCAAAACACAGAGACUCUAAUGAUGCAAAAGCAUUUGAUUGAUUUUCUCCAUACAACUCAGCACCAAUCUUGUGUACUUGAUCCAAACCACUAAUUGAAAGAUCUUUUAACAACAACAGCCUUCCAAUCGAUGGUAGAGAUUUGCAAUUUUUACAAUUGCGAAGCUCCAAUGACAACAUAUUUUCGAAGGAAGAAUCUGCAAUCCAAGUGGAGAAUUUUGCACCACCAUAAUUCUCAAUGACGAGUUGCUCAAGCUUUUUUGGAGGACGAAGAGAGUCCAACACCCAUUCUUCAACUUCCUUAUUCCUUGAAGCCUUUUCAAAAUUUUCACUCCAAUGCAAUACCAAUCGCUGAAUCCCCUGCUUCUCAUUUAACUUGGCUUCCCCUGCAUCUUCACCAUUAACAUUCUCCAACCCAGAAAGACGGAAAUCACCUUUGAGGUUUGACAAAUAUUUCAAACCUCUAAUAUAACAACCAUCACCUUCCCCUAUUAUAAAAUCAGUUAACCUUUGAAGUUUCGUUAGCUUAUCAAUUCUAAAAGGAAUCCUUUCUAUUGAGUCCGCGCCUCUGAUAUCAAGAUAAUGCAAGUUGACAAGAUUUUCCAUCUUUGAAGGUAACCUUUGAAGCUCCCGACACCGUCUCAAUAAUAAAGUUUCCAAAUGAUAAAGAGUGCACAAAGAGUCAUGUAGCCAUUUGAUAUGGGUGUAAGAAAAAUUUAAGUACCGAAGAUGUUUUAAAUUUUCAAAAACAUCAGGCAACUCAGUGAUGGUAUACCUACUCAAAGAAAGCACCCUUAAGUAGCCUAGUCUUGGCAACAAAUCAACCAAAACAACAUUAGUUAAAUAAGGCCCCGGAUAAUAAUUACUAGAAAACAUUAAGGGUAAAAAAGUACGUAAAGAUUUCACUUGAUCAAAUGCUUCAAACUUCUUCACUGUGUCAUAUCUUCCAGCAAUAUAAGAAGAAUGUCGAGUGCGAUUUGAGAACUUCCAUUUCUUAUCACCCUCUAAUUUUGAGCAUAUUUCCCCUGCAACUACUUGAGCUAAAUCAUUGAUAAGGUCAUGCAUUACGAAUCGGGACUUAUCUUUACCGGAUGUCUGAAAAAAUGACCUCGACACUAGAUCUUGAAAAUAUUGAUUUCCGAGAUCUUUAAUUUGAGGCAUAACUUUUUGUUGCAAGAGACCUUCUGCUCUCCAUAACAAGAUAAUUUCUUCUUCCUCAAAUUCAUAAUCUUUAGGAAGUAUGGAGCAAUAUGCAAAACAUCGUUUCAAGUACGACGGAAGAUGAUGUAGCUUAAUCGCAAAGCUGGAAUUAUGCNNNNNNNNNNNNNNNNNNNNNNNNNNNNNNNNNNNNNNNNNNNNNNNNNNNNNNNNNNNNNNNNNNNNNNNNNNNNNNNNNNNNNNNNNNNNNNNNNNNNAUUCAACCGUGCGAAGCAAGCUUCCAAUGGCUUUUGCAGCCAAAGGUAAGCCAUUGCACCUUCUAACAAUUUUCUCUCCAAUUUCUUUAAACUGGAGAUGUCCAUCGAAAUUUCUUGCUUUUAAUGCAUGCUGUGUAAAUAUGGAUAAACAAUCAUCAUCCGAUAGUUUAUCCAAAUGAAAAGCUUUGAGCGGAUCCACAAUAGAUGAAACAAUUUGAAGACGAGUGGUUACAAUGAUAUGGGUCCCUGCUCCAAACGGAGACCGUAAGAUGGUCCAAUCAUUAUAAUUCUCGUUCCAAAUGUCAUCUAAAACAAGCAAGAAUCUUUUCCCAGAC